rnacentral:lncRNA from 1 species
GCCUCUCAUCCCUCUCUUCUAAAAUACUCUCAAACACCCUCGCAAACCCUUAUUGCCGCCUACCCUUUUCGACCUCAAAUCCACCAGAAUCCAUGGAUGCUCUAGCCAUGGACGACCUACACUCACCACCUACUACUCUCACACGCCUGCUUCCUGAAGAUUCGAGGCCAGUAUUCGAGGGUCUUCAACCAGACCUUUGUCGAUUUAAGAUUUUAGCUAUUUCCGGCCUUGCUCCGGCGUAUUAUAGCCUACUAAGCCUGGUUCCGAUCUUGCCGACUCAGAUUUGAUCUCGUGACUUCCAAGCCUUUAUCAUCCAUUAGGGUUCUUAGAAACCCUAACUUAUUCGAGGUUCUUUUUCAUUCUAUUCAUUUAGAUCUGUGCUAGAUCUAUGCUGUGUGUGACAUUUUAGAGCUUUUCCCAAAUUUCCUUUUUUCAAUGCUGUUCAAAUCCGAUUUUAGGGUUUCUGAAAAUGGUUCCUAAAUGUUUGCUGACUCUUUUAAUCUCUCUUAUGUGUUUAUGAUUGUGUUUUAUUUCUUAUAAUCAUCAAGUCUGUUCUCUUAUUUCUUGCCUAAUUUUUAGAGAGAUUCUUUUCAAUUCUUUGUUCACAUGCUAACCUAGGUUGUUGAUCCUUACUCUUUCCUAUAUGUGUUCAAGUUCAUUCUUUGAUUUUGUUCGUAAGUUCUGUUGAUCAUUUUCUUGCCUACUUUUUGUCUUACAACUCAUACUUUCUCUUGCUUCUGUUUGUGUAUGUCUUCCUAUCUCCAUGACUUUGAAUGAAUUCUCAUCUCUGAUUCUAUAUGGAAACAUAAAAAUUGGGGGUUUUCCUUUGGGUAGAUGGCACUAGGGUUUCACUCUGAUACCCUAGGUUUACAGACUCAUGAUGAGCCUGUAAUCGAACUCAAAAUCUUAUUUGCCUAUGACUCUGAAAUUUUCAUUGUGAGAUUCUUCUUUAAUUUGAACAGUAUGCUUUACAUAUGAUAAAAACUUCCCUUUCAAAGAUUUCUUUGAAACCCCUUUAAUCAUGCUAGUGAUUCAGCACUGAUUUCUUUUGAGUGGAUCCCUUUUGCCCUACUAAGUGUUUAUUUUGAUCUUUUGCAUAAAAAUCCCAGACUUGUGAUGUUUUCCUUAAAUAAUUGGUCUUGCGUAUCUUCUGUGAUUUUGUACCAACGUUUGAGUUAAUUUUUUCCCUAAUUACUUUAGUUUCUCUGGGUUUGCAAUUGGAUCCGUGAUCAUUUGACUGAUUUUCAAAAUGAUACCUUAUUUUUCAUACUAUUAUUCCAUUUUUCCUUAUUUACCAACGCUGUAAUUGACCUUAUUUGUGUACUAUGUGGUUUACUUAGCUUAAUCAAGCCUUAGAAAACUAAUUUUCCCUCCUUGUUCCAUCUUGAUUAGCCGUUUGACCUAGACCCCUUAAUUAAAAGAGUCUAGUUGUCUUAAUUGAUAUUAAUUGAUUUGUUUUCUAUGUUUGUGCACUCUUUGCCUACCUUACUUGUUUUCAAAAAACUACGUAAGGCUGAGCCCUCCCCUUUUCUAACAUCUGUCAAUAAUAAGGAUUCUCUUAUAAAGUCAAACACACUGACUAGUUCUAGACUACUUUUUUUCUUUCUAGAAUACCUUUAUAUUUUUCUGAAAAACUUUCGAGUCUUCUGCUGAAGUCUUGAGUUGUUCUUUGUUUGUGGCUGCGAGUGCUCUGCUCUUCUCUUUCUGUUUACUUUGCAACUGGUAUGUCUUUCCUAGCUUAAAUAUUGAUCCUCUCAUAUGUAUUUAUGUUUCAGCUUUGUUGUACUUCUUUCUUACUGCUUUUCUGCAAUUUUAUCAUUCUUUUUCUUAUGUGAAUCCCCUUACCCCUAACUUUUUUAUCUGUUGAGUUGUGGUUCUUGAGCAUGACAAUACCCAAACAUUUUUGUUCAUGCGUAUGGACUGGAUUCCUUGAAUCCUAAACUCUAUCAAUUCCCACUCCCUUUUCCCUUUAUGUGUUCUCUGAGCCUAAGACCUUGGCAUGACAAUGUACUAAUCAUUGUCCAUACCUGGUGUGGCCUUCAAUUGGUCUGCUCUUAAUUUUUUUGAUCAAAUAGAUUGGUCUGGGUUGUGGAAACCUAUUUUGUGGCUAGGCAUGACCGCCACCUGUUAUGGCUCCUCAACCCCUUCUGUACUUAUACUUAUUCUUAGUUAUUAAGUUCUGCCCCUCUCUUGUAAGCCUUGCCUUGGGACCUUUAAUCUCACUUUGAACUUGGAUGCUUGAGAGCUUGCUCUUCCACACUGCAGUGUUUCUAUUCUAACGGUAUCUUGAGUGUAAGCAAUGCUGGGAAUCCCUGAGAUUCCUUGGAACUUUGAAACACCCUAGGUAAAGAGAAGGCUUUGGACUUUGGAUUCCAGAAUGGUUCAAACACAUAUUAUUAGACAUUAAGUCUGAAUUAGGCUGCUCGGAUCUAGCUGUUAGCUUCUGAUGUAUUUUUUCUCUUUUUUUUUUGGUUUGUAAUAACUUGUGUAAACUCGGAGAAUAUAGUGAAAAGGGUGGGG